GGACGGGUGAGUAACACGUGGGUAACCUGCCUGUAAGACUGGGAUAACUCCGGGAAACCGGGGCUAAUACCGGAUGGUUGUUUGAACCGCAUGGUUCAGACAUAAAAGGUGGCUCGGCUACCACUUACAGAUGGACCCGCGGCGCAUUAGCUAGUUGGUGAGGUAACGGCUCACCAAGGCCACGAUGCGUAGCCGACCUGAGAGGGUGAUCGGCCACACUGGGACUGAGACACGGCCCAGACUCCUACGGGAGGCAGCAGUAGGGAAUCUUCCGCAAUGGACGAAAGUCUGACGGAGCAACGCCGCGUGAGUGAUGAAGGUUUUCGGAUCGUAAAGCUCUGUUGUUAGGGAAGAACAAGUGCCGUUCAAAUAGGGCGGCACCUUGACGGUACCUAACCAGAAAGCCACGGCUAACUACG
rnacentral:rRNA from 1 species